CAUGGAACCGCACAACCACUCGAGCUUAGCUGAGUUUGUACUCCUUGGUUUCCCCAAAGUGGGCCACAUCAGGAGCUGGCUUUUUGUCCUGCUGCUGUUGGCAUACCUGUUCACCAUCUGUGGCAACAUGCUCAUCUUCUUAGUUAUACGACUGGAUGCAGCCCUGCGCACACCCAUGUACCACUUUGUCAGUAUACUCUCCUUCCUGGAGCUGUGGUAUACAGCCACCACCAUCCCCAAGAUGCUGGCCAAUCUUCUCAGCGAGAAGAAGACCAUUUCCUUUGCAGGAUGCCUCCUUCAGACCUACUUCUUCCACUCCCUAGGGGCCUCUGAAUGCUACCUUCUUACAGCCAUGGCCUAUGACCGAUACCUGGCCAUCUGCCGGCCCCUCCACUACCCUGCAGUUAUGACCCCAACACUCUGUGGCAAGAUGGCUGCUGCCUGUUGGACUUGUGGCUUCCUGCGUCCCAUUUCUGAAGUCAUCCUGGUCUCCCAGCUCCCCUUCUGUGGCUAUAAUGAAAUUCAACACAUCUUCUGUGACUUUCCACCUCUGCUGAGCCUGGCCUGCAAGGACACAACCACUAAUGUCCUCGUUGACUUUGCCAUCAAUGCCUUCAUCAUUCUUAUCACCUUCCUCUUUAUUAUGGUUUCUUACGGAAGAAUCAUUGGUGCCGUACUGAAGAUAAAAACAGCAGCGGGGAGAAAGAAGGCCUUCUCCACCUGUGCCUCACAUCUCACUGUGGUUCUCAUCUUUUUUGGCAGCAUCAUCUUCAUGUAUGUGCGCCUAAAGAAGAGCUACUCUCUGACACUUGACCCGUCACUUGCUGUAGUCUACUCUGUGCUGACACCACUGGUCAAUGGUCAACCCAAUUAUCUACAGUCUUCGUAACAAGGAACUCAUUAAGGCCAUCAAGAGGACCGUCUUCCGGAAAGGGGGGAGAGCUAGUCCUACUCACCACUGA